rnacentral:rRNA from 1 species
UGCGUAGGCGGAAUAUUAAGUCAGUGGUGAAAUCCUACAGCUCAACUGUAGAACUGCCAUUGAUACUGAUAUUCUUGAGUAUAGUUGUAGUGGGCGGAAUAUGUCAUGUAGCGGUGAAAUGCUUAGAUAUGACAUAGAACACCGAUCGCGAAGGCAGCUCACUAAACUAUAACUGACGCUCAGGCACGAAAGCGUGGGGAGCAAACAGGAUUAGAUACCCUGGUAGUCC